UAAGACAUAGAAGUUGACUUUUCUAGAUAACUCUCCCUUCUUCUUCCUCCCUUGCUGAUUUUCUCUAUUUACAGUUUAGCGUGAAAGAGAAAGAGAGUUUUUGAAAUAAAAAAUGAGAAUCAAGAUCGUCAGCUGAAUGAAUUAGAGAAGAGACGUGUGGAGAAGAAAAAAGAGAUGUAGAUGUAGUUGAGGAUUGAGGUUGAAUAUUUAUUAAUCGGUGAUGAAUAAUUGGUUUGGAUGUUGAUAUGGAUAGAAUUUGAAUAACCAAAGCACCAAACAGGUCAAUUGUUUUUUAGAAGAAUCAAAGCUUGUGAAUCUUCUACUUCUGCAGCUUUCCCGUGUUGUUGAUGUGAGAAAUCUUGGAUGCAUUUUGUUCUAUUUUAUUGCAUGAACGUAACUCAAAUUCAGUUUAUAUA